CCUACGGGUGGCAGCAGUGAGGAAUAUUGGUCAAUGGACGAGAGUCUGAACCAGCCAAGUAGCGUGAAGGAUGACUGCCCUAUGGGUUGUAAACUUCUUUUAUAUGGGAAUAAAACGUUCCACGUGUGGGCUUUUGUAUGUACCCUAUGAAUAAGGAUCGGCUAACUCCGUGCCAGCAGCCGCGGUAAUACGGAGGGUCCGAGCGUUAUCCGGAUUUAUUGGGGUUAAAGGGUGCGUAGGUGGGUUGUUAAGUCAGUUGUGAAAGUUUGCGGCUCAACCGUAAAAGUGCAGUUGAAACUGGCAGUCUUGAGUACAGUAGAGGUGGGCGGAAUUCGUGGUGUAGCGGUGAAAUGCUUAGAUAUCACGAAGAACUCCGAUUGCGAAGGCAGCUCACUGGACUGCAACUGACACUGAGGCUCGAAAGUGUGGGUAUCAAACAGGAUUAGAUACCCCGGUAGUC
rnacentral:rRNA from 1 species